AAAAGCGCAUGUGACAGUCCAAACCGUGCGGUGGCUUCGUGGGAAACACGAUUAAGUUGACGAUUUUUCUUCGUCUACUCUACUAAUCACGUCAGACAAGUUUCGUCAAAACCUCAAAGCUUUUCUCAACGCAGAGUCCAAAAUCGACGAUAAUUUCGCACCAGGCGGGGCUCCUUCAUUUAACGUAAGCUCCGGCAGUAUAAAAGAAAUCUCUGGCUGCAGUUUCCAGGCAAAAUCAGCCACGUCAUGCGAGAGCUUCGAAGAGAAUACAACUCGGUGGUAGACGCUGUGCCAGACAGCCACGUGACGACGCGUUCUUCCUCUUCCCUUUCAUUCUCUUCAAGCUCCUCUUUGUCCCACGAUGUACAUUUUUUCACGGAAAGACUCAGCUGAAUACGUAAAUGUCAACACAUGCGAUUUCCCGGACGAGACGGAAGAAAACUCAACCAAUAAUCACCUUCGAUGUUGUACCGAAUGCAUGAGCGAAGUUGCCAAUCGCCUCGUAACAAUGGCCCUCUCACUCGCGGAUAUGUCUCAAGUUUAAGGUUGCAAUUUCGACACACACCCCGAUGCACGUACCAAGGAACAUGUGGGCUAACUCUAAUCUAAAAGAUGCUGAUCAUUGAUUGGAGACCCUUCAACUGUCCUUGUGGAUCUCGUGAAAUUUUCCAUACCAUUGCUUCCUCCGAUAUUUCAUUGCUUGCAAAGGGAGUUGCAAAGUUCCUCAAAAAUCUCACGUUUUCAUGCAACUUCUUUGAAGACGAAGAAGAAGAAGCACAAUUACCGAGCCGAGCCACGGGGUAGUCUCUGCGAAGGAAAUCUCGUUUUAACGAGACAAACUCGAAGAAACGGUUAAGGCGUGGGUGCAUGAAUAAAG